GACGAACGCUGGCGGCGUGCUUAACACAUGCAAGUCGAACGGAAAGGCCCUGCUUUUGUGGUCUUCCCGAGUGGCGAACGCGUGAGUAACACGUGAGUAACCUGCCCUUGUCUUUGGGAUAACUUCAGGAAACUGGGGCUACUACCGGAUAGGAGACCCUGCUGCAUGGUGGGGGUUGGAAAGUUUCGGCGGGUGGGGAUGGACUAGCGGCUUAUCAGCUUGUUGGUGGGGUAGUGGCUGACCAAGGCUUUGACCGGUAGCCGGCCUGGGAGGGUGACCGGCGACAUGAGUACUACGAUAGGGCCCAGAGUCCAACGGGAGGCAGCGGUGGGGAAUAUUACACAAUGGGCGGGAGUCUGAUGCAACAACGCCGCGGUCGUGAUGACGGCCUUCUGGUUGUGAACCGCUUUCGCCUAUGACGAAGCGUGAGUGACGGUAAUGAGUAAAGAAGCACCGGCUAACUACGUG
rnacentral:rRNA from 1 species